CCAAUAGCGUAUAUUAAAGUUGUUGCAGUUAAAAAGCUCGUAGUUGAACUUCGGGGUUUACUCAUUGGUCAGGCUUAAUUGUCUGUACUGGUGAGAUGAAUCUCUACCUUCUGAGGAACUUUCAUGCCAUUUAGUUGGUGUGAUUGGAAAUCAGGACUGUUACUUUGAAAAAAUUAGAGUGUUUAAAGCAGGCUAACGUCUGAAUACAUUAGCAUGGAAUAAUGAAAUAGGACGGCUUGGUUCUAUUUCGUUGGUUUCUAGGAUCACCGUAAUGAUUAAUAGGGAUAGUUGGAGGCAUUAGUAUUCAAUUGUCAGAGGUGAAAUUCUUGGAUUUAUUGAAGACUAACUAUUGCGAAAGCAUUUGCCAAGGAUGUUUUCAUUAAUCAAGAACGAAAGUUAGGGGAUCGAAGACGAUCAGAUACCGUCGUAGUCUUAACCAUAAACUAUGCCGACUAGGGAUCGGACGAAGUUAAUUUUAUAAUGACGCGUUCGGCACCUUACG
rnacentral:rRNA from 1 species